GCUAGCUAUGGACGAUGAGCAGGGGUAGUAGGUGGGUGGCGAGCGUUGUGGGGAAUUAGGGGGGGUAAGGGGAGGGCAGGGGGGAGGUCAAGUCGAUCUUAAAAGUGGGGGGCUCAACUCCGGGAGAGGAUGGAAAGUGGUCUUGUUGAGGGCAGGAGAGGAAAGCGGAAGGCCUAGUGUAGCGGGGAAAUGCGUAGAUAUUAGGAGGAACACCAGUGGCGAAGGCGGCUUUCUGGACUGUAACUGACGCUGAGGCUCGAAAGCGUGGGGAGCGAACAGGAUUAGAUACCCCGGUAGUC
rnacentral:rRNA from 1 species